rnacentral:rRNA from 1 species
CUGCUGCCUCCCGUAGGAGUCUGGGCCGUGUCUCAGUCCCAGUGUGGCCGUCCACCCUCUCAGGCCGGCUGCUGAUCGUCGCUUUGGUGGGCCGUUACCCCGCCAACUGGCUAAUCAGACGCGGGCCCAUCCUGUACCACCGGAGUUUUCAAAGGAUUACCAUGCGGUAUUCCCUAUUAUGCGGUAUUAGCACCUAUUUCUAAGUGUUAUCCCCCGGUACAGGGCAGGUUGCCCACGCGUUACUCACCCGUCCGCCACUAAGACAAG